CAGAACCCUGCCCGCCAGGCCCGUCACCCGUCUCUUAGCGAGCGCUGCCCGAGCAGGUUAGAAUGAGGGACCAACCCGUUUUCAGUUUCAUUUUCUAAGUCUUAUGAUGCGUAGGAAGGCAAAGGUUGGACUGGGUGGAUUCACUCUCUGUACAUCUUCGCCCUCCGAUCUGGGCGGUGCACCCAAGCCUGGAGCGUGGGCCUUCUGCCCUAGCAAAGCAGUUUGCACCAACGUUCGCUUUUCAGAUCAGCGCUAGAAAUGCCGGGGGACUUUCAUACCAAGCCCCAGGCAUUUAUGAACCCAGAAACUGUAGUUUUUAAUCACGAAAACAGAAAACCAAAGCAGUUAAGGCUAAGGACAGAAUGGAACCGGGCAGAAUCAGAACAUGGGUUCACAAUUACAGCCUAGAAAUAAGCUCUGGGGCUUUUGUACUCGUUGGACAAGAAGAAGAGUCCAGGCACCUCGAGGCCUCCUGAGGCCAGCUCAGAGAGCCAGCAGAAGUGAAGAAGGACCUUCUGGCUUCCUGAAUCCCUCCAGGAAAGUUUCUUUUUGGAAAGCCCUGUGCCAACAAAGUCUUGCUUGUAUCUUGCCUCUGUUGUUUAGUUCGAGAGUGUCUCGGCGGCAUACCUAGAUCACCGAAAGUAAACCAGGAGAGAACAAAACACGCGACAGGCGGGAACCCGGACCGUCUGUAGACGAGAUGGCAGCCAGGCCAUUGAGUCUUUCCAGCACCAUUUGUAUGAAAAUUUACCUUUAUUAAAUAUCAACAUAGAAAAUUUGAGUAGUAGAAGAAAAAAGAAAACUUGUCACUUAUAAAUCUGCUGUCCAAAGUGAUCUUGUUUACUAUUAGGAUCAUUUCCUUAUAGUUAUUUUUUAAUAUCUAUGUUCAUAAUCAGGUGUUAUCUCAUUAAUCUUAACAGUUUUAUAGGUAAAUACUGCUAUUAUUUCCAUUUUGCAGAGGAAGGAAUACAGAGAGGGUAGGAAUUCUAAUUCAGAUAUACUUGGACAGUAAGCAGUAGUGCCAGGAUUUUGAACCCAGGCAACAUAACUGCAAAGCCUCUGCACUUAGACAAUAUGCAUGCAUGUGUGAGUCAAAUUAGGGUUGUGUGGCAUAACAGUAUUGUUCUGGCCUUCCUCUCCCUAUUUACAAAUGAAUGAAUAUAUAUGAUUUAAGUGACAACAACAAUAAUAAAAUACAUAGUCUUUCUUUUUUUUCUUUUUUA
rnacentral:lncRNA from 1 species